AUCUGGCUGACGAAUCCCAAAUAGGACGAAGGUUGCAUGCUAGAU
rfam:Schistosoma margrebowiei strain Zambia genome assembly, scaffold: SMRZ_scaffold0003255